rnacentral:rRNA from 1 species
UACAGAGGGUGCAAGCGUUGUUCGGAAUUAUUGGGCGUAAAGCGCGUGUAGGCGGCUUGUUAUGUCGGGUGUGAAAGCCCUCAGCUUAACUGAGGAAGUGCGCCCGAAACUGGCAAGCUUGAGUGUCGGAGAGGAUAGCGGAACACCCGGUGUAGAGGUGAAAUUCGUAGAUAUCGGGAGGAACACCAGUGGCGAAGGCGACUUCCUGGCCUGUUCUUGACGCUGAGGCGCGAAAGCUAGGGUAGCAAACGGGG